rnacentral:rRNA from 1 species
UUUGAUCCUGGCUCAGGACGAACGCUGGCGGCGCGCCUAACACAUGCAAGUCGAACGAGCGAGAGAGAGCUUGCUCUCUCGAGCGAGUGGCGAACGGGUGAGUAACGCGUGAGGAACCUGCCUCAAAGAGGGGGACAACAGUUGGAAACGACUGCUAAUACCGCAUAAGCCCACGACCCGGCAUCGGGAAGAGGGAAAAGGAGCAAUCCGCUUUGAGAUGGCCUCGCGUCCGAUUAGCUAGUUGGUGAGGUAACGGCCCACCAAGGCGACGAUCGGUAGCCGGACUGAGAGGUUGAACGGCCACAUUGGGACUGAGACACGGCCCAGACUCCUACGGGAGGCAGCAGUGGGGAAUAUUGCACAAUGGGGGAAACCCUGAUGCAGCGACGCCGCGUGGAGGAAGAAGGUCUUCGGAUUGUAAACUCCUGUUGUUGAGGAAGAUAAUGACGGUACUCAACAAGGAAGUGACGGCUAACUACGUGCCAGCAGCCGCGGUAAAACGUAGGUCACAAGCGUUGUCCGGAAUUACUGGGUGUAAAGGGAGCGCAGGCGGGAAGACAGGUUGGAAGUGAAAUCCAUGGGCUCAACCCAUGAACUGCUUUCAAAACUGUUUUUCUUGAGUAGUGCAGAGGUAGGCGGAAUUCCCGGUGUAGCGGUGGAAUGCGUAGAUAUCGGGAGGAACACCAGUGGCGAAGGCGGCCUACUGGGCACCAACUGACGCUGAGGCUCGAAAGUGUGGGUAGCAAACAGGAUUAGAUACCCUGGUAGUCCACACCGUAAACGAUGAUUACUAGGUGUUGGAGGAUUGACCCCUUCAGUGCCGCAGUUAACACAAUAAGUAAUCCACCUGGGGAGUACGACCGCAAGGUUGCAACUCAAAGGAAUUGACG